AGGCCGUGUCCUCACCGCCCCUCUCUUCCUAGGUGGGGUCUUUCCCGCAGCAGUUCACACACAUGUCUGGGCUCCCGUACCUGCUGAUGUACCGCUGUCAGGACAGCAGGGACAGGCCAGCAGUCAAGGCUGACGUGGAACACCUGUGGAGGGCUAAAGCCGAGGACCGAGAUGCAGACGGGCUGUAGGAGACGCGGGGCGCGUGGCCAGCAACUGAGCCUGUGCAAGGCCCUGCUCAGCUGCUUGGCGCCCGAGGACCCUGGCCUGCCCUGCC
rnacentral:lncRNA from 1 species